UAAAUUUGAUCGUUCACAAUU
rnacentral:piRNA from 1 species